rnacentral:rRNA from 1 species
ACGUAGGGGGCAAGCGUUGUCCGGAAUCAUUGGGCGUAAAGCGCACGUAGGCGGCCUGUUAAGUCGGGUGUGAAAGCCCUGGGCUCAACCCAGGAAGUGCACUCGAAACUGGCGGGCUUGAAUAUGGAAGAGGGUCGCGGAUUUCCCGGUGUAGAGGUGAAAUUCGUAGAUAUCGGGAGGAACACCAGUGGCGAAGGCGGCGACCUGGGCCAAUAUUGACGCUGAGGUGCGAAAGCGUGGGGAGCAAACAGGA